rnacentral:rRNA from 1 species
AGUGAACGCUGGCGGCGGGCCUAACACAUGCAAGUCGAGCGGCAGCACGGGAAGAUCUUGCUCCUACGGUUGGCGAGUGACGGACGGGUGACAAGUAGAUCGGAUUCUUCUUUGUCUGGGGUGAUAACGGGGGAACGCAGAUGAUAAUGGCUCAUAUGUCCUACGGGUUGGAUCAAGAGUUCAACGGGCCUUUCGCGACUCUAAUAGCCGGUUCCGGGUCGGAUUAGCUAGUUGGUAAGGUAACGGCAAACCAAGGCAACGAUGCGUAGCUGAGCUGAGAGGAUGAUCAGCCACACUGGAACUGAGACACGGUCCAGACUCCUACGGGAGGCAGCAGUGGGGAAUAUUGCACAAUGGGCGAAAGCCUGAUCCAGCAACACCGCGUGGGUGAAGAAGGUCUUCGGGUUGUAAAGCCCUUUUGUUGGGAAAGAACAGAAGUAUGUUAAUCCAUGGCUGUUUUGACGGUACCCAAAGAAUAAGCCCCGGCUAACUUCGUG